AUGAUCACUGCGGUUCGUCUUGUCACCCAGGCCCCGAAUACUGAGCUCUCAUUGGUUAUUCGCCACCGGAAGCGCUGGUGCCAGAUGUCAGAUACGACCUCGGUGACCAUCCACCAGAUCCCGGCAUUCUCCGUUUCUCGCCGAGAGGAGGUGUCACUGGAAUGUACCGUCGAGGGCAGCAGUGCCAUUACUAAUUACAUGUACUGGUACAGACAGUACCCGGGAGAGGGACUGGAGAACCUGUUUUACUCUCCACGAGCCAAAAGCGUGGAACCAAACAAGGCGGUGGACGGUUUUAACGCAGAGAGACCCAGUAGCGACGUCUUCAAGCUGAUGUCCUCCGGUCUCGAGGUGAAUUCGUCGGCCGUGUAUUUCUGCGCAUGGAGUGAUCACAGCGACUCAGGCGGACGGAGGAGCUGA